GUGGGGCUAAAAAUCCACUAAAGGGCACAUCGUUGAAGUUUCUUGUUUGUGCGCAAAACGCCCAGUUAUGUGUGCGGUCAGGGAGUAAAGAAAAUAGGGCAAUAUGUAAUGGCAUACAUAUUUUAUUGUCCCUGUUUUCGCGGAGGCUUAAAUAGGUAAAUAUAUGCAUUUUUAAGUUAAACCUAUGCAAAGUGCCAAGACACAAUGCAUAGAGUAGCCUGUUUUGAGUGAUAGUAUCGGGAUUAAUGGUGUAUAAAUUAAAAUAUGAUGGCCAUAUAUUUUAGUUUAAGUUAGUUAUGAAAUUUCUAUUGCAAAAGAAACUAAUAAUAGAAUAAAUAUAUUAAGGAAAACUUCUAGAGUGUUUGAUUAAAACAAGAAAGUACAGGGAUUAAGGUACGGAUUUAAGUGGCAAUCUGGUAUCUUUUGAAAUACAAAGAUGUUUUAUUAAAUGGAAACAGCUAAACAGUAAUGUUUAGUAUAAAACAGAGAAAUUCAACCAGACCUAAACCGUAAAAUUUACUUUUACUUUUACCACUUUUUAUUAAUUU
rnacentral:sRNA from 1 species